rnacentral:tRNA from 1 species
GCCCGGGUGGCGAAAUCGGUAGACGCAAGGGACUUAAAAUCCCUUGAUCGAAAGAUCGUGCGGGUUCGAGUCCCGCCCCGGGCACCA